GUGUUGAUACUUUAAUAUGAAAAUUUUUGCUUGCUCCAGUGUGUACUCUAUAUGUAAGAAGUUCCAUAUGACCGACCGUCCCUAGAACAAGUGGUAAAGGGCUUCGUGGUUGGUAUUCGAGACCCAAGUUCGAAUCCUAUUUGAUUCACAUUUCUAGUUAAGUUUAUUUCUAAAUGAAAUAAACGAAGUAGAUAGCGUGCUAUCUAUCUCUCAAAAAAAAAAAAAAAAAAACGAA
rnacentral:lncRNA from 1 species